AUACGUAGGUGGCAAGCGUUAUCCGGAUUUACUGGGUGUAAAGGGCGCGUAGGCGGGGGUGCAAGUCAGAUGUGAAAUCUAUGGGCUUAACUCAUAAACUGCAUUUGAAACUGUAUCUCUUGAGUGCUGGAGAGGUAGACGGAAUUCCUUGUGUAGCGGUGAAAUGCGUAGAUAUAAGGAAGAACACCAGUGGCGAAGGCGGUCUACUGGACAGUAACUGACGCUGAGGCGCGAAAGCGUGGGGAGCAAACAGGAUUAGAUACCCUGGUAGUCCACGCUGUAAACGAUGAAUACUAGGUGUGGGGGACUGACCCCCUCCGUGCCGCAGUUAACACAAUAAGUAUUCCACCUGGGGAGUACGGCCGCAAGGUUGAAACUCAAAUGAAUUGACGGGG
rnacentral:rRNA from 1 species